rnacentral:rRNA from 1 species
GGGUUGUGAGGUUAAGCGACUAAGCGUACACGGUGGAUGCCCUGGCAGUCAGAGGCGAUGAAGGGCGUGCUAAUCUGCGAUAAGCGCCGGUAAGGUGAUAUGAACCGUUAUAACCGGCGAUACCCGAAUGGGGAAACCCAGUGUGAUUCGUCACACUAUCAUUAACUGAAUCCAUAGGUUAAUGAGGCGAACCGGGGGAACUGAAACAUCUAAGUACCCCGAGGAAAAGAAAUCAACCGAGAUUCCCCCAGUAGCGGCGAGCGAACGGGGAGGAGCCCAGAGCCUGAAUCAGCAUGUGUGUUAGUGGAAGCGUCUGGAAAGGCGCGCGAUACAGGGUGACAGCCCCGUACACAAAAGCGCAUGUGCUGUGAGCUCGAUGAGUAGGGCGGGACACGUGGUAUCCUGUCUGAAUAUGGGGGGACCAUCCUCCAAGGCUAAAUACUCCUGACUGACCGAUAGUGAACCAGUACCGUGAGGGAAAGGCGAAAAGAACCCCGGCGAGGGGAGUGAAACAGAACCUGAAACCGUGUACGUACAAGCAGUGGGAGCCCCACCACUAAGCCAGUGGUGAACUCCACAUACGCAUCCUUUGCUGAGGAGACGGUUAACGGAGCGAAAGCGACGUUCAACCUCAAAACAAGCAGAGGGGGCUUAGUGGUGGGGUGACUGCGUACCUUUUGUAUAAUGGGUCAGCGACUUAUAUUCUGUAGCAAGGUUAACCGAAUAGGGGAGCCGGAGGGAAACCGAGUCUUAAUUGGGCGUUAAGUUGCAGGGUAUAGACCCGAAACCCGGUGAUCUAGCCAUGGGCAGGUUGAAGGUUGGGUAACACUAACUGGAGGACCGAACCGACUAAUGUUGAAAAAUUAGCGGAUGACCUGUGGCUGGGGGUGAAAGGCCAAUCAAACCGGGAGAUAGCUGGUUCUCCCCGAAAGCUAUUUAGGUAGCGCCUCGUGAAUUCAUCUCCGGGGGUAGAGCACUGUUUCGGCUAGGGGGCCAUCCCGGCUUACCAACCCGAUGCAAACUGCGAAUACCGGAGAAUGUUAUCACGGGAGACACACGGCGGGUGCUAACGUCCGUCGUGAAGAGGGAAACAACCCAGACCGCCAGCUAAGGUCCCAAAGUCAUGGUUAAGUGGGAAACGAUGUGGGAAGGCCCAGACAGCCAGGAUGUUGGCUUAGAAGCAGCCAUCAUUUAAAGAAAGCGUAAUAGCUCACUGGUCGAGUCGGCCUGCGCGGAAGAUGUAACGGGGCUAAACCAUGCACCGAAGCUGCGGCAGCGAACGUAUCACCCAAGACAACUUUGCGGAGUUGACGAUUGACGGAGCGAAGCGACGUCAAAGCGUUCAUUAAAGUCGAGUUGGCUUAGGGAUACGUUCGUUGGGUAGGGGAGCGUUCUGUAAGCCUGUGAAGGUGU